rnacentral:pre_miRNA from 1 species
UCUUCUGAAUGAGCAAAGAAAGUGGUUUCUUGAGAUAGAAUCUACUUCUGUGAAUGUGCUGUGAA